UACGGAGGGGGUUAGCGUUGUUCGGAAUUACUGGGCGUAAAGCGCGCGUAGGCGGACCAGAAAGUUGGGGGUGAAAUCCCGGGGCUCAACCCCGGAACUGCCUCCAAAACUCCUGGUCUUGAGUUCGAGAGAGGUGAGUGGAACUCCGAGUGUAGAGGUGAAAUUCGUAGAUAUUCGGAAGAACACCAGUGGCGAAGGCGGCUCACUGGCUCGAUACUGACGCUGAGGUGCGAAAGUGUGGGGAGCAAACAGG
rnacentral:misc_RNA from 1 species